rnacentral:rRNA from 1 species
UACGGAGGAUCCGAGCGUUAUCCGGAUUUAUUGGGUUUAAAGGGUGCGCAGGCGGGAGAUUAAGUCGGCGGUGAAAUUUUGCAGCUUAACUGUAAAAGUGCCUUCGAAACUGGUUUCCUUGAGUGUAGAUGAAGUAGGCGGAAUUUGUGGUGUAGCGGUGAAAUGCAUAGAUAUCACGAGGAACUCCGAUUGCGCAGGCAGCUUACUAAACUACUACUGACGCUCAGGCACGAAGGCGUGGGGAUCAAACAGGAUUAGAUACCCGCGUAGU